rnacentral:rRNA from 1 species
UACAGAGGUCGUCAAGCGUUGUUCGGAUUCAUUGGGCGUAAAGGGGUGCGUAGGCGGCGCGGUAAGUCGGGUGUGAAAUCUCGGAGCUUAACUCCGAAACUGCAUUCGAUACUGCCGUGCUUGAGGACUGGAGAGGAGACUGGAAUUUACGGUGUAGCGGUGAAAUGCGUAGAUAUCGUAAGGAAGACCAGUGGCGAAGGCGGUUCUCUGGGCCUGACCUGACGCUGAGGAGCGAAAGCGUGGGGAGCGAACAGG